rnacentral:rRNA from 1 species
CAGCCGCCGCGGGAAUACGAAGGGUGCAAGCGUUAAUCGGAAUUACUGGGCGUAAAGCGUGCGUAGGCGGUUUGUUAAGUCUGCUGUGAAAUCCCCGGGCUCAACCUGGGAAUGGCAGUGGAUACUGACAAGCUAGAGUGUGUCAGAGGAUGGUGGAAUUCCCGGUGUAGCGGUGAAAUGCGUAGAGAUCGGGAGGAACAUCAGUGGCGAAGGCGGCCAUCUGGGACAACACUGACGCUGAGGCACGAAAGCGUGGGGAGCAAACAGGAUUAGAUACCCCCGUAGUCCCUGUCUCUUAUAC